rnacentral:rRNA from 1 species
UAGUCCACGCCGUAAACGAUGGACACUAGUUGUUUGGAUUUAUCUAAGUGACUAAGCGAAAGUGAUAAGUGUCCCACCUGGGGAGUACGAUCGCAAGAUUGAAACUCAAAGGAAUUGACGGGGGCCCGCACAAGCGGUGGAGCAUGUGGUUUAAUUCGAUGAUACGCGAGGAACCUUACCAGGGCUUAAAUGUAGUAUGACAGGACUAGAGAUAGUUUUUUCUCGGACAUAUUACAAGGUGCUGCAUGGUUGUCGUCAGCUCGUGCCGUGAGGUGUCAGGUUAAGCCCUAUAACGAGCGCAACCCCUAUUUUCAGUUGCCAGCAUUAAGUUGGGGACUCUGGAAAGACUGCCGGCGUAAGCCGCGAGGAAGGUGGGGAUGACGUCAAAUCAUCAUGGGCCUUUAUGCCUAGGGGCGACACACGUGCUACAAU